rnacentral:rRNA from 1 species
UACGUGGGGGGCAAGCGUUGUUCGGAAUUACUGGGCGUAAAGGGUUCGUAGGUGGCCAACUAAGUCAGACGUGAAAUCCCUCAGCUUAACUGGGGAACUGCGUCUGAUACUGAUUGGCUUGAGUGCAGGAGAGGAACGCGGAAUUCCAGGUGUAGCGGUGAAAUGCGUAGAUAUCUGGAGGAACACCGGUGGCGAAGGCGGCGUUCUGGACUGCAACUGACACUGAGGAACGAAAGCCAGGGGAGCAAACGGG